GUGCUCUCUUUGGCAGCACAUACACUAAAAAUUGAAACGAUACGGAGAAGAUUAGCAUGGAAGAUUAGCAUGGCCCCUGAGCAAGGAUGGCACGCAAAUAUGUGAAGUGUUCCAUAUUUUU
rnacentral:snRNA from 1 species